AGCAGAACAGGCCAUGUCACAGGACUGGUUCACACAGUAGAAGGGACUUGUCUAAAGCUCAGGUACUCUUUGGAUCUCUACGCAGGCAAAUUUCCUAAGCUCCAUCCACGUCUCCACUGAAUGCUGUGUUGCUUUGAAAUUUCAUCAGCCCAACAAACUCAUCCACCCUUGUGAAUUCAGCCUCACUCAGAAGUGUAGUGCACCAGCACAGAGGAGCCAUGUUCUCCAGCAGGGUGUUCUCGGAAAUGGCCUUCAGUUGGAUUUCUGAUCAAGCUCUCUCUUCUCUCCUGGAGCCUCAUGAACGUAGCCUUCACUUCUCUCAACAUUCUGGCCUUCCACAAUCUCUUCUACAGGAUCACCUGCUCCACUCUGUUUGUGGUGUUUGAGGGCUUCUCUGGCCUGUGUAGCUACAAACUCUUCUACAUUCCUCUCCCAAACCACUUCCAACACACCAUUAGUCAUAUGUCUAGGUUAUCACAGCAACUCCCCUUACCAGUGCCACUAUCAAUAGUCUUCUCAUGGUGCUGAUGUAAAACCUGACAGAAGACUAUGUUUUGACUCAUGUCUUGAGAAGUACAGUCCAGCAUGGUGAACAAAUCAUGGGCUGCAUUUGGUUUGUGGCAGACAGGAGCCAAAGAGGAACUUGCCAGAACUAGAAUCGGGCUUCAGGACAAAAGGCCUGCACCACAACAAACCACUUCCUUCAGCUGGGAAUCAUAUUCAAACAGUUCCACAGCCUCCCAAAACAGUGCCACCAGCUUGAGACUAAGUUCCCAAACUAAUGAGCCAUCCUUUGAAUCAUACUCAAAGCAUGACAUGUGUGAACCAGUCUUUACACAUUCAUAUACUGGAUGCAGACACAUCUAAUAUAUACAUACAGGUGAGGUGGUUCUAUACAAUUUUAUUGGACUAGAAAAUCUGCAGCCUAGUGACUGAUUGAAGAACAAUACACUACUUGUCUGUGGUAAUGCUAUGAUCAAAAAUCAAAGUGCUGGUGGGGACUGAAGAGAUGGGGGUCACAUGCCAAGACCCCUCAAGUUAUAAUUUUCCUGAUUUCAAAAUGGAGUGAACAGACCUAUCAAGUCCUGCUCACUCCUGCAGCUCAGUCCUGCCUGCCUUGUGUUCAGAACACUUAAACUAAUCACACUGAGGCAAAGCCAUGCCACCCAAAGCCUAAUUUAUACUUAAGUGCUCAAUAUUAAACAUAGUCCUGAGAGAC
rnacentral:lncRNA from 1 species